GACGAACGCUGGCGGCGUGCCUAACACAUGCAAGUCGAACGGAAAGGCCCUGCUUUUGUGGGGUGCUCGAGUGGCGAACGGGUGAGUAACACGUGAGUAACCUGCCCUUGACUUUGGGAUAACAUCAGGAAACUGGGGCUAAUACCGGAUAGGAGCUCCUGCUGCAUGGUGGGGGUUGGAAAGUUUCGGCGGUUGGGGAUGGACUCGCGGCUUAUCAGCUUGUUGGUGGGGUAGUGGCUUACCAAGGCUUUGACGGGUAGCCGGCCUGAGAGGGUGACCGGCCACAUUGGGACUGAGAUACGGACCAGACUCCUACGGGAGGCAGCAGUGGGGAAUAUUGCACAAUGGGCGGAAGCCUGAUGCAGCAGCGCCGCGUGCGGGAUGACGGCCUUCGGGUUGUAAACAGCUUUCGCCUGUGACGAAGCGUGAGUGACGGUAAUGGGUAAAGAAGCACCGGCUAACUACGUG
rnacentral:rRNA from 1 species